UGAAUACGAGGCACUAAGGUGCUGAAGUAGUGUAUGCCAUACUUCCAAGAAAAGCUUGCACUAUCGUAAGAUUAAAAUGCCUGUACCAUAACCGACACAGGUGGGUAGGUAGAGUAUACUAAGGGGCGCGAGAUAACUCUCUCUAAGGAACUCGGCAAAAUAACUCCGUAACUUCGGGAGAAGGAGUGCCUUAUUCUAUAAGGUUGCAAUAACAAGAUCCAAGCAACUGUUUAUCAAAAACACAGGUCUCCGCUAAGUCGUAAGACGGUGUAUGGGGGCUGACGCCUGCCCAGUGCCAGAAGGUUAAAGAAGUCGGUUAGCAAUUGCGAAGCUGGUAACUGAAGCCCUGGUGAACGGCGGCCGUAACUAUAACGGUCCUAAGGUAGCGAAAUUCCUUGUCGGGUAAGUUCCGACCCGCACGAAAGGCGUAAUGAUUUGGAUACUGUCUCGGAGAGGGACUCGGUGAAAUAGACUUGUCUGUGAAGAUGCGGACUACCUGCACCAGGACAGAAAGACCCUAUGAAGCUUUACUGUAACUUGAAAUAGAAAUUGGACUUUAUUCGCGCAGUAUAGGUGGGAGGCGUUGAUUAUAAUCUUGUGGGAUUAUUGGAGCCAUUAGUGAGAUACCACUCUUGUAAUGUUAGAUUUCUAACUUUGAAACAUGAUCUGGUCAAAGAACAGUUUCAGGCGGGCAGUUUGACUGGGGCGGUCGCCUCCUAAAUGGUAACGGAGGCGUACAAAGGUUUCCUCUGAACGGGUAGAAAUCGUAUCUAGAGUGUAAAGGCAUAAGGAAGCUUGACUGUGAGACCUACAAGUCGAGCAGGGACGAAAGUCGGUCUUAGUGAUCUGACGGUACUGAGUGGAAAGGCCGUCACUCAACGGAUAAAAGUUACUCUAGGAUAACAGGCUGAUCUCCCCCAAGAGUUCACAUCGACGGGGAGGUUUGGCACCUCGAUGUCGGCUCAUCGCAUCCUGGGGCGGUAGUACGUCCCAAGGGUUGGGCUGUUCGCCCAUGAAAGCGGUACGCGAGCUGGGUUCAGAACGUCGUGAGACAGUUCGGUCCAUAUCCGGUGUAGGCGUUAGAAUAUUGAGAGGAGCCUUCUUUAGUACGAGAGGACCGAGAAGGACAUACCUCUGGUGUACCAGUUAUCGUGCCAACGGUAAACGCUGGGUAGCUAUGUAUGGAGUGGAUAACCGCUGAAAGCAUCUAAGUGGGAAGCCCACCUCAAGAUAAG
rnacentral:rRNA from 1 species